rnacentral:lncRNA from 1 species
AUGGGCCUCACAAUCCACCAGUGAUACCUAGCAAUAUGUAGUGACAAUCUAGUAGAAUAAAAGUAUGAACCCCUAGGUGCAGUUAUUAUGUGAUUCAGUCUUUCUAUCAUGAGUCCCAAUUUGAUGGAGGUCAUGGAGAACUCGUCAAACCCCAUGGUCAGUCAUAUGCUAGAUUGACUCGAUUCGAGUUCACUUGUGAAUCUCAUAAAAAUUCUUUUUUAAUAUUCACACUUACUUUGGCCAAAGAUUUUUUGAACUCAGUCUCGUAAAUCACAUAGAACUUCUCUUUUUCUAUCC